rnacentral:rRNA from 1 species
GGCCAGUUGGUGCAUGGCCGUUCUUAGUUGGUGGAGCGAUUUGUCAGGUUAAUUCCGGUAACGAACGUAACUCUAGCCUAUUAAAUAGACGUGCUACCGAUAUCACGAGGGUCCGCGGGCGCGCAAGCGUUCCGCGGUCUUCAACUAUCGGCGUACAUUGAAAUCUUCUUAGAGGGACCGGUGGUAUAUAUAGCCACACGAGAUUGAGCAAUAGCAGGUCUGUGAUGCCCUU